rnacentral:rRNA from 1 species
AACUUAAGCAUAUCAAUAAGCGGAGGGAAAAGAAACUAACAAGGAUUCCCCUAGUAGCGGCGAGCGAAGCGGGAAGAGCUCAAAUUUAUAAUCUGGCACCUUCGGUGUCCGAGUUGUAAUCUCUAGAAAUGUUUUCCGCGUUGGACCGCACACAAGUCUGUUGGAAUACAGCGGCAUAGUGGUGAGACCCCCGUAUAUGGUGCGGACGCCCAGCGCUUUGUGAUACAUUUUCGAAGAGUCGAGUUGUUUGGGAAUGCAGCUCAAAUUGGGUGGUAAAUUCCAUCUAAAGCUAAAUAUUGGCGAGAGACCGAUAGCGAACAAGUACCGUGAGGGAAAGAUGAAAAGCACUUUGGAAAGAGAGUUAACAGUACGUGAAAUUGUUGGAAGGGAAACGCUUGAAGUCAGACUUGCUUGCCGAGCAAUCGGUUUGCAGGCCAGCAUCAGUUUUCCGGGAUGGAUAAUGGUAGAGAGAAGGUAGCAGUUUCGGCUGUGUUAUAGCUCUCUGCUGGAUACAUCUUGGGGGACUGAGGAACGCAGUGUGCCUUUGGCGGGGGUUUCGACCUCUUCACACUUAGGAUGCUGGUGGAAUGGCUUUAAACGACCCGUCUUGAAACACGGACCAAGGAGUCUAACAUGCUUGCGAGUAUUUGGGUGUCAAACCCGGAUGCGUAAUGAAAGUGAAUGGAGGUGGGAACCGCAAGGUGCACCAUCGACCGAUCUGGAUUUUUAAUGAUGGAUUUGAGUAAGAGCACGUAUGUUGGGACCCGAAAGAUGGUGAACUAUGCCUGAAUAGGGCGAAGCCAGAGGAAACUCUGGUGGAGGCUCGUAGCGGUUCUGACGUGCAAAUCGAUCGUCAAUUAAGGUAUAGGGGCGAAAGACUAAUCGAACCAUCUAG